UACGGAGGGUGCGAGCGUUAAUCGGAAUUACUGGGCGUAAAGCGUACGCAGGCGGUUUGUUAAGUCAGAUGUGAAAUCCCCGAGCUUAACUCGGGAACUGCAUUUGAAACUGGCAAGCUAGAGUCUCGUAGAGGGGGGUAGAAUUCCAGGUGUAGCGGUGAAAUGCGUAGAGAUCUGGAGGAAUACCGGUGGCGAAGGCGGCCCCCUGGACGAAGACUGACGCUCAGGUACGAAAGCGUGGGGAGCAAACAGG
rnacentral:rRNA from 1 species